rnacentral:rRNA from 1 species
CCUACGGGCGGCAGCAGUGGGGAAUAUUGCACAAUGGGCGAAAGCCUGAUGCAGCAACGCCGCGUGAAGGAAGACGGUUUUCGGAUUGUAAACUUCUGUUCUUAGUGGAGAAUAAUGACGGUCACUAACGAGCAAGCCACGUCUAACUACGUGCCAACAGCCGCGGUAAUACGUAGGUGGCAAGCGUUGUCCGGAUUUACUGGGUGUACAGGGAGCGUAGGCGGGAAGCCAAGUCAGCUGUGAAAACUACGGGCUUAACCGGUAGACUGCAGUUGAACCUGGCUUUCUUGAGUGAAGUAGAGGUUGGCGGAAUUCCGAGUGUAGCGGUGAAAUGCGUAGAUAUUCGGAGGAACACCGGUGGCGAAGGCGGCCAACUACGCUGUAACUGACACUGAGGCUCGAAAGUGUGGGGAGCAAACAGGAUUAGAUACCCGAGUAGUC